AGGGUUUGAUCCUGGCUCAGGACGAACGCUGGCGGCGUGCCUAAGGCAUGCAAGUCGAACGUCCCCGGCUUUGGCCGGGGGAGUGGCGGACGGGUGCGUAACACGUGGGUGAUCUGCCCACCGGACCGGGACACCCUCUCGAAAGGGAGGUCAAUACCGGGUACGCCGGGGCUUUUACGGGAGCUCUGGGAAAGGGGAGACCCGCCGGUGGAGGAGCCCGCGGCCCAUUAGCUCGUUGGCAGGGUAAGGGCCUACCAAGGCGACGAUGGGUAGCCGGCCUGAGAGGGCGAACGGCCACACUGGGACUGAGAGACGGCCCAGACUCCUACGGGAGGCAGCAGCCGGGAAUCUUCCACAAUGGGCGCAAGCCUGAUGGAGCAACGCCGCGUGUGCGAGGAAGGCCUUCGGGUUGUAAAGCACUGUCCUCGGGGACGAAGGAAGUGACGGUACCCGAGGAGGAAGCCCCGGCUAACUACGUGCCAGCAGCCGCGGUAAUACGUAGGGGGCGAGCGUUGUCCGGAAUCACUGGGCGUAAAGGGCGUGUAGGCGGUAGGCUGCGUCGGGGGUGAAAUCCCCGGGCUCAACCCGGGGGGGUCCUCCGAAACGGGCUUGCUGGAGGGCAGGAGAGGCGAGCGGAAUUCCCGGUGUAGCGGUGAAAUGCGUAGAUAUCGGGAAGAACACCCGUGGCGAAGGCGGCUCGCUGGACUGUACCUGACGCUGAGGCGCGAAAGCUAGGGGAGCGAACGGGAUUAGAUACCCCGGUAGUCCUAGCCGUAAACGAUGGGUACUAGGUGUAGGGGGUAUCGACUCCCCCUGUGCCGGAGUUCACGCAAUAAGUACCCCGCCUGGGGAGUACGGCCGCAAGGUUGAAACUCAAAGGAAUUGACGGGGGCCCGCACAAGCAGUGGAGCAUGUGGUUUAAUUCGAUGCAACGCGCAGAACCUUACCAGGGCUUGACAUCCCGCGAAGACCCGGGAAACCGGGGGGGCCCCGCAAGGGGACGCGGAGACAGGUGGUGCAUGGUUGUCGUCAGCUCGUGUCGUGAGAUGUUGGGUUAAGUCCCGCAACGAGCGCAACCCUCGUUCACUGUUGCCAGCGUAGAGGCGGGCACUCAGUGGAGACCGCCGGAGACGAUCCGGAGGAAGGUGGGGAUGACGUCAAAUCAUCAUGCCCCUUAUGUCCUGGGCCACACACGUGCUACAAUGGCCGGCACAGCGAGAGGCGAGGCCGCGAGGCGGAGCGGAUCUCUGAAAGCCGGUCGUAGUUCGGAUCGCAGGCUGCAACUCGCCUGCGUGAAGCCGGAAUUGCUAGUAAUCGCGGAUCAGCACGCCGCGGUGAAUCCGUUCCCGGGCCUUGUACACACCGCCCGUCACACCACGAAAGUGGGCAACACCCGAAGCCGGGGGAGCGAACCCGCAAGGGGCGCAGCCGUCGAAGGUGGGGCUCAUGAUUGGGGUGAAGUCGUAACAAGGUACC
rnacentral:rRNA from 1 species